GAUGAACGCUGGCGGCAUGCCUAACACAUGCAAGUCGAACGGAAAGACGAGGAGUUUGUUCUGUUGACGUGAGGGGAGCGGGGGGGUGAAACAUGUGUAAAACCCACCUAUAUGACGGGGAAAACCUCGGGAAAACGGAGACUACAACGGAUAAGAUACUGAAGCGCAGGGGGCGAUAGUGAAAGACGGCUUUUCUGUAAAUAAUAGCGGGUUCUGAGCGGCAUUAGGUAGUUGGUAAGGUAACGGCUUACCAAGGCAACGAUGCGUAGCCGACCUGAGAGGGUGAUCGGCCACACUGGAACUGAGACACGGUCCAGACUCCUACGGGAGGCAGCAGUAGGGAAUGUUCCGCAAUGGGCGAAAGCCUGACGCAGCAACGCCGCGUGUGUGAUGAAGGCCUUCGGUUCGUAAAGCUCUGUUAUUGGGGAGGAACAGAUGUGUAAGUAGAUAUGCACGUAUUGACGGUACCUGAUCAAGAAGCCCCGGCUAACUACGUG
rnacentral:rRNA from 1 species